rnacentral:tRNA from 1 species
AGCCCUGAGGUGUUAAACAUAUAAGAUUGCAAAUCUUAAGAAGCAGAUAAGUCGUCUGCCGGGGCUU